rnacentral:lncRNA from 1 species
UUCAUGAUUGUCAUGGUGUGCUUGGACCAUGUUAGUUUGUUGAUGUGGACACCAAGAAACUUGAAGCUCUCAACCUGCUCCACUGCAGCUCUGUCGAUGAGAAUGGGGGCAUGCUCAGUCCUCUAUUCGAUCGCCGCCUACUCCUCAGAAGGCAGCCCGCCCUCCGGCCUCUCUUUCUCCACCUCCUCUUCAUGCAGAUCACUGGGGUCGGGGCCUGUUCCCGAGGGAGCCGUAUAUCCUCCGCCUCGGGCUUGUCAGAGUCGUGAAAGAAGAUAAAGGAUUCUGCUAGUCCAUGGUUUCAUACAGGUUGUUGGAUUCCAUCCCCCCUCACUGGAUCUGCAGCAUAUCAACAGGCGGGAGAAGUUAGCUUCUAACUGACUGACUGAGGCCUCACGUCCCCCAUCUGAGAUAUCUACUGCAGCCCUCAUCCUCCACAUACAACACCCGUUCUGCAAGGCACAUUCUGUUAAAGGUCCUCAAAACACACACAUUCCUGGGUCGCUCAUCUUUUCUGUUCGCUGCAGCUAGCGACUGGAACGAGCUGCAACAAACACUCAAACUGGACAGUUUUUUUUUCUCAUUCUAUUCAUUCAAAGACUCAAUCAUGGACACUUACUGACAGUUGUGGCUGCUUUGUGUGAUGUAUUGUUGUCUCUACCUUCUUGCCCUUUGUGCUGUUGUCUGUACCCAAUAAUGUUUGUACCCUGUUGUGCUGCUACCAUAUUGUGUUGCUACCAUGUUGUUGUCAUGUUGUGUUUCUACCAUGCUGUGUUGUCAUGUGUUGCUGCCAUGCUUGGUUGUCUUAGGUCUCUCUUUAUGUAGUGUUGUGUUGUCUCUCUUGUCAUGAUGUGUGUUUUGUCCUAUAUUGUUAUUACAUUUAUUUGUAUUUUUAAUUCCAGUCCCCGUCCCCACAAGGAGGCCUUUUGCCUUUUGGUAGACCGUCAUUGUAAAUAAGAAUUUGUUCGUAACUGACAUGCCUAGUGAGUCAGUUAAGAACAUAUUCUUAUUUACAAUGACGGCCCCAGGUGGUGAAGGUAGGAAACAACAUCUCAACUUCUCUGACCCUCAACACUGGGGCCCCACAAGGGUGUGUGCUCAGGCCUCUCCUGUACUCCCUGUUCACCCACGACUGCGUGGCCAUGCACUCCUCCAACUCAAUCAUCAAGUUUGCAGACGACACAACAGUAGUGGGCCUGAUCACCAACAAAGACGAGACGGCCUACAGGGAGGAGGUGAGGGCACUCGGAGUGUGCUGUCAGGAAAACAACCUCUCACUCAACGUCAACAAAACAGAGGAGAUGAUCGUGGUCUUCAGGAAACAGCAGAGGGAGCACCCCCUAUCCUCAUCAAAGAGACAGCAGUGGAGAAGGCAUAACGUUUUAAGUUCCUCGGUGUACAUAUCACAGACAAACUGAAAUGGUCCACCCACACAGACAGUGUGGUGAAGAAGGCUCAACAGUGCCUCUUCAACCUCGGGUGCCUGAAGAAAUUUGGCUUGUCACCCACCCAAAACCCUGACAAACUUUUACAGAUGCACAUUGUUUGUUCAUUUAUAAGUAAUUUCAAGGUUUAUGUAAGUUGAACAUUAGGAAGCUAUUGUUCCAGACAGGAGACUGUUAGAUUCUGGGUGAAACCUGGAACAUUGUUAUACUCAUAAGGAUAGUGUCUAACAGUGAACGAGACUGGUUUUUACAUCAGAAGUUAAUGGUUAUCUGUAGGAGUUAGAUGGCUUUGGAGAGUGUAGGGGAGACGGGUGGAAAUCUUAGAACCUAACAAUGUCACUGAGGGAGAGAGGGUAAUGUAUAGCAUUUACAUUAUGUCAGGAUAUGUUAUUGUUAGCCAUCAGGGAUCCUCUAGGAGGAGAGGAGACACAGUCUGGUAUCAAUAACCAUGACAGCCUUGAGUUGGGGAGGAGUGAGCACUUUGGGCUAGAGGUCAGGUUAGAUGAAGUGAGGAACAACAGAUAUCACUAAGGUUCUGUCUAGCAACAGAGAUACAAUGGUCUGUUCAGUUGUGGAGGAGACUCAACCUAGGAGAAAGGGUUAAAUAUCAGUGCUUGUGUGAAAUGUCGUUUGUCUGAAUGCAGCUGUAUCGACCCUUUGGGAAGAAUUAAAGUUGUUUAAGCUUU